AGGGUGCAAGCGUUGUCCGGAAUUAUUGGGCGUAAAGAGCUCGUAGGCGGUUUGUCGCGUCUGCUGUGAAAACCCGAGGCUCAACCUCGGGCCUGCAGUGGGUACGGGCAGACUAGAGUGCGGUAGGGGAGAUUGGAAUUCCUGGUGUAGCGGUGGAAUGCGCAGAUAUCAGGAGGAACACCAAUGGCGAAGGCAGAUCUCUGGGCCGUAACUGACGCUGAGGAGCGAAAGCAUGGGGAGCGAACAGG
rnacentral:rRNA from 1 species